rnacentral:rRNA from 1 species
CCUACGGGCGGCAGCAGUGAGGAAUAUUGGUCAAUGGCCGAGAGGCUGAACCAGCCAAGUCGCGUGAGGGAAGACGGCCCUACGGGUUGUAAACCUCUUUUGUCGGGGAGCAAAGCGAACCACGUGUGGUUCAUUGAGAGUACCCGAAGAAAAAGCAUCGGUUAACUCCGUGCCAGCAGCCGUGGUAAUACGGGGGAUGCGAGCGUUAUCCGGAUUUUUUGGGUUUAAAGGGUGGGCAGGCGGAGGUGCAAGUCGGCGGGCAAAUUUAGGGGCCCAACCCCGUACUGCCGUUGAAACUGAAUCCCUUGAGUGCGCGAGAAGUAUGCGGAAUGCGUGGUGUAGCGGUGAAAUGCAUAGAUAUCACGCAGAACUCCGAUUGCGAAGGCAGCAUACCGGCGCGCAACUGACGCUCAUGCACGAAAGCGUGGGUAUCGAACAGGAUUAGAUACCCUUGUAGUC